rnacentral:rRNA from 1 species
GAUGAACGCUGGCGGCGUGCCUAAUACAUGCAAGUCGAGCGAACAGACGAGGAGCUUGCUCCUCUGACGUUAGCGGCGGACGGGUGAGUAACACGUGGAUAACCUCCCUAUAAAACUGGGAUAACUUAGGGAAACCGGAGCUAAUACCGGAAAAUAUAUUGAAAUGCAUGGUUCAAUAGUGAAAGACGGUUUUGCGGUCACUUAUAGAUAGAACCGUGCCGCAUAAGCUAGUUGGUAAGGUAACGGCUUACCAAGGCAACGAUGCGUAGCCGACACGAAAGGGUGGUCCACCACACUGGAACUGAGACGCGGUCCUGACUCCUACGGGAUGCAGCAGUAGGGAAUCUUCCGCAAUGGGCGAAAGCCUGACGGAGCAACGCCGCGUGAGUGAUGAAGGUCUUCGGAUCGUAAAACUCUGUUAGGAGGGAAGAACAAAUGUGUAAAUAACUAGGAACUUCUUGACGGUACCUAAUCAGAAAGCCACGGCUAACUCCGUG